rnacentral:rRNA from 1 species
AUUGAACGCUGGCGGCAUGCUUUACACAUGCAAGUCGAACGGUAACAGGCCGCAAGGUGCUGACGAGUGGCUAACGGGUGAGUAAUUCAUCGGAACGUGCCCAGUCGUUGGGGAUAACUUCUCGUAAGAGUAGCUAAUACCGCAUACGAUCUAUUGUUGAAAGCGGGGGACCGUAAGGCCUCGCGCGAUUUUUUCUGCCGAUGUCAGAUUAGUUAGUUGGUGGGGUAAAGGCUCACCAAGCCAACGAUCUGUAGCUGGUCUGAGAGGACGACCAGCCACACUGGGAAUGAGACACGGCCAAGAAACCUACGGGAGGCAGCAGUGGGGAAUUUUGGACAAUGGGCGCAAGAAUGAUACAGCAAUGCCGCGUGGAGGAAGAAGGAAUUCGGGUUGUAAACUGCUUUUGUACGGAAAGAAACGGCUCUGGUUAAUACCCGGGGAUAAUGACGGUAACGUAAGAAUAAGCACCGGCUAACUACGUG